rnacentral:snRNA from 1 species
AGCUUUGUGCAGUGGCAGUAUCAUAACCAAUGAGGUUUAUCCAAGUCAUGAUUAUUGCUAGUUGAGAUCUUUCCCCAAUACUCCACCAUGAUGACUUGAAAUAUAGUUGGCACUGGCAAUUAAAAAAAAAAAA